UCAGGGGGCAGUUUGGGCAGAAUCUUGGCUUUGGGAGCCAAGGGCAGGAGUUUAAUCCUCCUUCCCCUGAU
rnacentral:tRNA from 1 species